rnacentral:rRNA from 1 species
GACGUAGGGCGCGAGCGUUGUCCGGAUUUAUUGGGCGUAAAGAGCUCGUAGGCGGCUUGUCGCGUCGACCGUGAAAACUUGGGGCUCAACCCCAAGCCUGCGGUCGAUACGGGCAGGCUCGAGUUCGGUAGGGGAGACUGGAAUUCCUGGUGUAGCGGUGAAAUGCGCAGAUAUCAGGAGGAACACCGGUGGCGAAGGCGGGUCUCUGGGCCGAUACUGACGCUGAGGAGCGAAGGCGUGGGGAGCGAACAGG